rnacentral:misc_RNA from 1 species
GAUGAAGAACGUAGCGAAAUGCGAUACGUAAUGUGAAUUGCAGAAUUCAGUGAAUCAUCGAAUCUUUGAACGCAUAUUGCGCUCUCUGGUAUUCCGGAGAGCAUGCUUGUUUGAGUAUCAGUAAACACCUCAACUCCCCUUUCUUUUUUUGAAAUGGGAGCUGGACUUGAGUGAUCCCAACGCUUUUCUCACCGAAAAGUGGCGGGUUACUUGAAAUGCAGGUGCAGCUGGACUUUUCUCUGAGCUAAAAGCAUAUCUAUUUAGUCUGCCUAAAAAACAGAUUAUUACCUUUGCUGCAGCUAACAUAAAGGAGAUUAGUUCUUGUGCUGACUGAUGCAGGAUUCACAGAGACAGCUUAGGCUGGCCUUUGUAAACUCGAUCUCAAAUCAAGUAAGACUACCCGCUGAACUUAAGCAUAUCAAUAAGCGGAGGA